AAAUUGAAGAGUUUGAUCAUGGCUCAGAUUGAACGCUGGCGGCAGGCCUAACACAUGCAAGUCGAACGGUAACAGGAAGCAGCUUGCUGCUUCGCUGACGAGUGGCGGACGGGUGAGUAAUGUCUGGGAAACUGCCUGAUGGAGGGGGGUAACUACUGGAAACGGUGGCUAAUACCGCAUAACGUCGCAAGACCAAAGAGGGGGACCUUCGGGCCUCUUGCCAUCAGAUGUGCCCAGAUGGGAUUAGCUAGUUGGUGAGGUAACGGCUCACCAAGGCGACGAUCCCUAGCUGGUCUGAGAGGAUGACCAGCCACACUGGAACUGAGACACGGUCCAGACUCCUACGGGAGGCAGCAGUGGGGAAUAUUGCACAAUGGGCGCAAGCCUGAUGCAGCCAUGCCGCGUGUAUGAAGAAGGCCUUCGGGUUGUAAAGUACUUUCAGCGGGGAGGAAGGUGUUGUGGU
rnacentral:rRNA from 1 species